AGUCUCUCAUAGAAACUUCUGGCCUCUGGACACUGUGGGAGCAACUUUUCCUUUAUUAGACUGUCUCCUCUUUAACUGGAAUAUUGCAGCAUGACUGGGAAGCCUGUCCUUCAUUACUUCAAUUGAAGAAGAAGAAUGGAGUCCAUCCGGUGGCUCCUGGCAGCAGCUGGAGUAGAGUUUGAGGAAGAACUUUUUGAAACCCAUGAAGAGUUUGAGAAGUUAAUCCAAGGUGGAACCCUGAUGUACGAGCAAGUGCCCAUGGUGGAAAUCGAUGGAAUGACUUUGGUGCAGACCAGUGCCAUCUUAAGAUAUGUAGCUGCAAAAUAUGACUUGUAUGGAAGGAACCUGGAGGAACAAGCCUGAAGAGAAGGAGAUGAACCUUGAAUACAUCCUCCACCGAGCUACAACAAGAUUCUUCCCCGUUUAUGAGAAGGACUUCAAGGUGAGAACCAGCCAAAUUCCUACAAUUAACAGCUUCCUCCAACCUGGAAGCCAGAGGAAGCCUCCUUUGGAGGAGCGAUCCAUUGGGACUGCAAAGGACAUAUUCAAAUUUGAAUGAGGACUGUUUCUUAAAAACAUGAGCAAUAUAGUAGCUGAGUAUUAACAGCUACAGAGGCUGGAGUUACUCAGUAAGUAUACUGAGUAACUUGACACUGCAUUCAUAAAAAGACACUCACUAAGUAUAUGGCCAGAGAAAUAUCCUGAAGUUAGUAAUAAAUGUUAGGAAUCUUAGUAUGUUAGCAAUGUUAGAAUGUUAGUAAUGGAAAUAUUAAAUGUGUAAGAGAAAAACUACUAGAAGCUUAUCAAUAAACUACAAGAACCAACUCUUGUUUGAAGUAAGACAGGCUACCAAGACAGAAUUCAGAAAAUCCAAGGAGCCCUCGGCCUUCUGUAUGAUCCUAGAAUAAACUUGUAUGUAGCAAGUGAAA
rnacentral:lncRNA from 1 species